rnacentral:rRNA from 1 species
GAUCCUGGCUCAGGAUGAACGCUAGCUACAGGCUUAACACAUGCAAGUCGAGGGGCGAGCAUGGUCUUAGCUUGCUAAGGCCGAUGGCGACCGGCGCACGGGUGAGUAACACGUAUCCAACCUGCCGUCUACUCUUGGACAGCCUUCUGAAAAGGAACGAUUAAUACAAGAUGGCAUCAUGAGUCCGCAUGUUCACAUGAUUAAAGGUAUUCCGGUAGACGAUGGGG